rnacentral:rRNA from 1 species
GACGUAGGGCGCGAGCGUUGUCCGGAUUUAUUGGGCGUAAAGAGCUCGUAGGCGGCUUGUCGCGUCGGCUGUGAAAUCCCGUGGCUCAACUGCGGGUCUGCAGCCGAUACGGGCAGGCUAGAGUUCGGUAGGGGAGACUGGAAUUCCUGGUGUAGCGGUGAAAUGCGCAGAUAUCGGGAGGAACACCAGUAGCGAAGGCGAGACGCUGGACCCUUUCUGACACUGAGGCGCGAAAGCCAGGGGAGCGAACGGG